rnacentral:misc_RNA from 1 species
GAGUAGAGCGAAUCAAUGGGAGCUUGCUCCCUGAGAUUAGCGUCGGCCGGGUGAGUAAGAAAUAGGGUAACCUGCCUGUAAGACUGGGAUAACUUCGGGAAACCGGAGCUAAUACCGGAUAAUUUCUUUUCUCGCAUGAGGAAAGAUGGAAAGAUGGUUCUGCUAUCACUUACAGAUGGACCCGCGGCGCAUUAGCUAGUUGGUGAGGUAACGGCUCACCAAGGCGACGAUGCGUAGCCGACCUGAGAGGGUGAUCGGCCACACUGGGACUGAGACACGGCCCAGACUC